AGCGAACGUUGGCGGCAGGCCCAACACAUGCAAGUCGAACGAAGUCUUCGGACUUAGUGGCGGACGGGUGAGUAACACGUGGGAACGUGCCUUUAGGUUCGGAUAACUCAGGGAAACUUGUGCUAAUACCGAAUGUGCCCUUCGGGGGAAAGAUUUAUCGCCUUUAGAGCGGCCCGCGUCUGAUUAGCUAGUUGGUGAGGUAAAGGCUCACCAAGGCUACGAUCAGUAGCUGGUCUGAGAGGAUGACCAGCCACAUUGGGACUGAGACACGGCCCAAACUCCUACGGGAGGCAGCAGUGGGGAAUCUUGCGCAAUGGGCGAAAGCCUGACGCAGCCAUGCCGCGUGGAUGAUGAAGGUCUUAGGAUUGUAAAAUCCUGUCACCGGUGAAGAUAAUGACUGUAGCCGGAGAAGAAGCCCCGGCUAACUUCGUGCCAGCCGCCGCAGUAAGAC
rnacentral:rRNA from 1 species